rnacentral:rRNA from 1 species
UACGUAGGGGGCGAGCGUUGCCCGAAUUUACUGGGCGUAAAGCGCACGUAGGCGGCUCCGUAAGUCUGGUGUGAAAUCUCACGGCUCAGCCGGGAGGCUGCACCAGAUACUGCGGGGCUCGAGGACGGGAGAGGAGAUUGGAAUUCCCGGUGUAGCGGUGAAAUGCAUUGAUAUCGGGAGGAGCUCCAGUGGCGAAGGCGGAUCUCUGGCCCGUUGCUGACGCUGAGGUGCGAAAGCUGGGGGAGCGAAAGGG